AUCAUUUCUCAGGCCUUCAAAGAGCCUGAUUCAUCUUCGAAAAAAAAGCAAUCUGCAGCAACGACACAGUAUACAAGAGCAAUGAGUACCGAGUGAAACCAACAAUUUCAUCUGUAAAUGAGCACCCGGAUCUAUCAGUGAACAGACUCUGGAAUGUACCUGAGAAAUGAUAUGCAUGCAGAGAUCAUUUUUUUUUCUCUUUUUUUUU
rnacentral:lncRNA from 1 species